AUUGAACGCUGGCGGCAGGCCUAACACAUGCAAGUCGAACGAGUGGCGGACGGGUGAGUAAUGUCUGGGAAACUGCCUGAUGGAGGGGGAUAACUACUGGAAACGGUAGCUAAUACCGCAUACCAUCGGAUGUGCCCAGAUGGGAUUAGCUAGUUGGUGGGGUAACGGCUCACCUAGGCGACGAUCCUUAGCUGGUCUGAGCGGAUGACCAGCCAGACUGGAACUGAGACACGGCCCAGACUCCUAAGGGAGGCAGCAGUGGGGAGUAUUGCACAAUGGGCGAAAGCCUGAUGCAGCCAUGACGCGUGUAUGAAGAAGGCCUUCGGGUUGUAAAGUACUUUCAGCGGGGAGGCGUUACCCGCAGAAGAAGCACCGGCUAACUCCGUGCCAGCAGCCGCGGUAAUUC
rnacentral:rRNA from 1 species